rnacentral:rRNA from 1 species
UACGUAGGGGGCUAGCGUUGUCCGGAUUUAUUGGGCGUAAAGAGCUCGUAGGUGGUUUGUCGCGUUGUCCGUGAAAACUCACAACUCAAUUGUGGGCGUGCGGGUGAUACGGGCAGACUGGAGUACUGCAGGGGAGACUGGAAUUCCAGGUGUAGCGGUGAAAUGCGUAGAUAUCUGGAGGAACACCGGUGGCGAAGGCGGCAUUCUGGACCGAUAUUGACGCUGAGGAGCGAAAGCCAGGGGAGCAAACGGG